CGGUCACGUUCGUUGCAUUGGAGUAGGUUAAAUGUUCUAUAUAAUAAAUCAAGUUCACAUUAAAUAGUAAACUAAAGCAGAACAAUUGAAUAUAUUAUUUAGAGACACUACCUAUUAAAUAGUGAAACGCAAUUAAGCAGACAGAUCACUCCACGAACUAAGAACGGCCAUGCACCACCUAUCACACAAUCAUGAAAGGACUAGCAUAUUUGAAAUUGAAUUUUAAACAAAUUAUUUUCAAAAAAGAAAAUAAUAAGAAAAUUCGAAACACCUGUCAAUCCUCAGUGUGUCCGGACCCGGUAAGAUUUCCCGCGUUGGGUCAAAUUAAGCCACAUGCUCCAC
rnacentral:rRNA from 1 species